CGAUCCGCCGAUUUUCUCGGAUGGUUUUAAAUAAAUUUGAUUCUGGUUUAUCGAGUCGUUAUGAAAUCGCCAGUGAGCUUUUUUACUUUUUUGGUUAUUUUCAAAUUGGACGUAUACUCCGCGCUUCAACAUUUCUCACAUCGCACGGUAUACCGUUUGGGGGUAACGGCAGUAAUUUAUUUGUACGUCAAAUUUUCCGGAUAGCUCCCCUGCGCUUCCGGUCUGAAUUUUAUUGUGCUGGGUUAGGUUGGGGUAACUGGGGCAGUGCACUUUGUAUUACUGUCCGAUGAUUACUG